UGCCCCUUCGGGGAAAUUCGAUAAAAGUGGAAUGAUACAGAGAAGAUUAAUAGGGCCCCUACGCAAGGAUGACACGCAGAAAUGGUCCCGAAAAAAAAAACAAUUGA
rfam:Nicotiana attenuata strain TT chromosome 9, whole genome shotgun sequence.